ACUUGCAUUCUAGUUCUUUGAAAAAUCUCUCUCCUUUCGUGCAAAAUCAAAACAAUAUUUUUUUGGCUACAUUGGAAGCUUUAAAAUAUAAUUAUACAAAGAAAUACAAUAAAAUAAUUCAUUUGUAGGAUAAUUAAUAUUUAUCUAGAUUUAAUAAUUUAAAGUAAUCAUAUAAUUUCUAGAUAUCAAAGUAUUCAUUUUUAAUGUUAACCUAAUUCUUCUUGCUUUUAAUAUUUUAGGCCACUUGGUCAUUCUGGCAUUUUAUGGUAGAGAAUACAUUGAGUUUGGCUCAUGGAAAGAAUAUGAGUCCCAGCACAGUUGAAGAAUAUAGCACAGUUGCCUCAGUAUUGAUGGCUCGCUCUACUGGGAGCAUCUCUCUGGGUGCAUUCUUUACUGCUGAACCAACAGGGAAGGUCCCGUGGUUAUAUGUACAAUAUUGUUAACCGUGUUAUGUAUUAUUUAUAUGUAUCAUUUUCAAUUAAAAUUAUUUUGAUUCUGGUUGCUUUUUAGUUAUAUUUUUGCAUUCAAAUGAAAAAAAGUGUCUUCGCAAUAGUGAAAGUGAAAGUCACUCAGUUGUGUCCGACUCUUUGCAACCCCGUGGNNNNNNNNNNNNNNNNNNNNNNNNNNNNNNNNNNNNNNNNNNNNNNNNNNNNNNNNNNNNNNNNNNNNNNNNNNNNNNNNNNNNNNNNNNNNNNNNNNNAGUGAAAGUCACUCAGUUGUGUCCGACUCUUUGCAACCCCGUGGACUAUAUAGUCUGUGGAAUUCUCUAGGCCAGAACACUGGAGUGGGUAACUCUUCCCUUUUCCAGGGGGUCUUCCUAAACCAGGGAUUGAACCCAGGUCUCUUGCAUUGCAGGAGGAUUCUAUUACCAGUUGAGCCACAAGGGAAGCCCAGGAAUACUUGAGUGGGCAGCCUAUCCCUUCUCCAGCAGAUCUUCCCAACCCAGGAAUCAAACCAGAUUAUAGGCGGAUUCACAAUAGAGGAAUGCUAAAUAAGGCUGCCAACUUUCUGUUUUUAAGUUCUUUGUUUUGAAAAUUUAAUCAGAAGGAUCUCAUCCUGGAACUUCCCAGGUGUGUUUUCCACGUUUCACAGAUGUGAUUGGAAGAGAAAUCAUUCCUGUUUAUCUGAAUGAGAAUGCUUUGGUAAAAUUCCUUUGAUUCUAAGAUAACUAGAUGAAAUGUGUUGCAUAAAUCAUGUCAAGCAAACAGUUGUCACCUGGCACUAGAGCUUGAUGAAGUUUUAAAAUGUUCGCUUUUUGCCUGUAGUGUUCAGUUGUGAUUCUAUAGAAAGUCUGUUUGUACAGAUGAAGCAGCUCUUGGUAAUGCAAAUGGUAGGGCCUGUGUGAGUUUAUUGCAGAGACACCUAUUCUGAGUUCCCAAGACACACUCAUCAAGACUUUGUUUUAAUGUCUCAGUGCUCUCCCUUUGGCAUACUUAUAAGAAAAUGAAAUAGACCCUUAAGUUGCUAAAACCCUUACUGUUUACAUAGUUCAUUGUCUACACAGUGCAGGAAUGCUUUCAGUAAAGUUUCCAGAAGACAGUCAAAUUUGGACUGUAAGAUACUGCUUUUAUUUGCAGCUAUUAACUCUCUGUCCAACCUAGUCUUCAGUUUCAUCUUUUAACAAAAGUUCUACAUCCCUCUUUACUUAUUGGCAGUUUAGUCUGCCAAUUUUCCUAACCUUUUUAACAAAAUGAUAAAGAUCUACUCAGCAUGUGCAGAAAAGGGAUGAUGAACCCAUGCUCUUUGAUUCUAGAAUAUACUAAAGGGGUAUGCACUUCACAGUGGGCCAAACUUUCUUCCUAAAAAGUACAUUAUAUUUUGCCAUUUCCAGGCUUUAAAAUUUCUGUCAUUUGUAGGAACACUUUUUUUUUUAUGUCUUUGGCUGUCAUAUACACUUAAAAAAAAUUCCUUUCUUUUCAUCUCCCAACUUCUCAUUACAUUGCCUCUCUGUGCAGUGCUUAGUGGCUCAGUCCUGUCCAGCUCUGCGAUCCCAUGGAUAGACUGCAGCCCACCAGGCUCCUCUGUCCAUGGGAUUCUCCAGGCAAG
rnacentral:lncRNA from 1 species